rnacentral:rRNA from 1 species
UACGUAGGGUGCGAGCGUUGUCCGGAAUUAUUGGGCGUAAAGAGCUCGUAGGCGGUUUGUCGCGUCGACUGUGAAAACCCACGGCUCAACCGUGUGGUCUGCAGUCGAUACGGGCAGGCUAGAGUUCGGUAGGGGAGACUGGAAUUCCUGGGUGUAGCGGUGAAAUGCGCAGAGUAUCAGGAGGAGCACCGGUGGCGAAGGCGGGUCUCUGGGCCGAUACUGACGCUGAGGAGCGAAAGCGUGGGGAGCGAACAGG